UUGCCUACGGGGGGCAGCAGUGGGGAAUCUUCCGCAAUGGGCGAAAGCCUGACGGAGCAAUGCCGCGUGAGUGAAGAAGGCCUUCGGUUUGUAAAACUCUGUCCUUCUCGAAGCUCGGUUGGUCUGUGAAUAAUGUACUCAUAGGACGGUAGAUAAGGAGGAAGCCCCGGCUCACUACGUGCCAGCAGCCGCGGUAAUACGUCGGGGGCGAGCGUUGUCCGGAAUCACUGGGCGUAC
rnacentral:rRNA from 1 species